GGGGCUGUGGCUCAGUGCAGAACAUCUGCUUUGUAUGCAGGAGGUGCCAGGUUCAUUCCCUGGGAUCUCCA